rnacentral:rRNA from 1 species
AUUGAACGCUGGCGGCAGGCCUAACACAUGCAAGUCGAGCGCGCGGCGGGCGGGUGUGUGAUGUCUGGGAAACUGCCUGAUGGAGGGGGAUAACUACUGGAAACGGUAUCUCAUACCGCAUACCCUCAGAUGUGCCCAGAUGGGAUUAGCUAGUAGGUGGGGUAACGGCUCACCUAGGCGCCGAUCCCUAGCUGGUCUGAGAGGAUGACCAGCCACACUGGAACUGAGACACGGUCCAGACGCCUACGGGAGGCAGCAGUGGGGAAUAUUGCACAAUGGGCGCAAGCCUGAUGCAGCCAUGCCGCGUGUGUGAAGAAGGCCUUCGGGUUGUAAAGCACUUUCAGCGGGGAGGCGUUACCCGCAGAAGAAGCACCGGCUAACUCCGUGCCAGCAGCCGCGGUAAUUC